GGAGGAAAAGAAACCAACAGGGAUUGCCCUAGUAACGGCGAGUGAAGCGGCAACAGCUCAAAUUUGAAAUCUGGCGCAAGCCCGAGUUGUAAUUUGUAGAGGAUGCUUCUGGCCAGCGGCCGUUCUAAGUUCCUUGGAACAGGACGUCAUAGAGGGUGAGAAUCCCGUAUGUGACCGGCGCGCAGCCUUUACGUAGCUCCUUCGACGAGUCGAGUUGUUUGGGAAUGCAGCUCUAAAUGGGAGGUAAAUUUCUUCUAAAGCUAAAUACCGGCCAGAGACCGAUAGCGCACAAGUAGAGUGAUCGAAAGAUGAAAAGCACUUUGGAAAGAGAGUUAAAAAGCACGUGAAAUUGUUGAAAGGGAAGCGCUUGCAACCAGACUUCGUAGCGAUGUUCCGCUGGUCUUUUGACCGGUCUACUCAUCGUCGCGAGGCCAACAUCGUCUGGGCCCGCUGGAUAAGACCUAAGGAAUGUAGCUUCCCUCGGGAAGUGUUAUAGCCUGUGGUGAUGCAGCGCGGCUCGGGCGAGGUCCGCGCUUCGGCAAGGAUGUUGGCGUAAUGGUUGUCAGCGGCCCGUCUUGAAACACGGACCAAGGAGUCUAACAUCUAUGCGAGUGUUCGGGUGUCAAACCCCUACGCGUAAUGAAAGUGAACGGAGGUGGGAAGCGCAAGCUGCACCAUCGACCGAUCCUGAUGUCCUCGGAUGGAUUUGAGUAAGAGCAUAGCUGUUGGGACCCGAAAGAUGGUGAACUAUGCCUGAAUAGGGUGAAGCCAGAGGAAACUCUGGUGGAGGCUCGCAGCGGUUCUGACGUGCAAAUCGAUCGUCAAAUUUGGGUAUAGGGGCGAAAGACUAAUCGAACCAUCUAGUAGCUGGUUCCUGCCG
rnacentral:rRNA from 1 species